rnacentral:rRNA from 1 species
UAGCAGCCCGGCGUAAUUCCAGCUCCGGUAGCGUAUAUUAAAGUUGUUGCGGUUAAAAAGCUCGUAGUCCGAACUCGGGUUCGUGGUCGCUCGCGCGGCCCCGGGGCGGCGGCGCCAUCGUCCGUUGUUGACUUUGGUCGUCCGUUCGCAUUCCCGGCCCUUUCCGCCGGUGUCGACUGCCAUGUACAUCCGCCUCGCGGUCUGCCGGCAGGAAUCUUUGCGUGUUCGCGGCGUCGCUCGUCGUCGUCGUGUCGCGCAAUCUCCCGUCGUGCGCGCGUGUUUGCGGUCGGGCGGUUUCUCCUCCAAGGGUGCUCUUAACCGAGUGUCCGCGGCGGCCGGUACGUUCACUUUGAAAAAAUUAGAGUGCUCAGAGCGGGCUGUUCAAGCUUGCAUACGAUAAGCAUGGAAUGAUGGAAGAGGGCCUCGUCUACGUCUGUCGGUCUCCGUCUACGGCGAGGCAAUGAUCGAAGGGAGCGGUCGGGGCCACUCGUAUUGCGACGUUAGAGGUGAAAUUCUUGGAUCGUCGCAAGACGAACUGCAGCGAUGGCGUGUGGCAAGCACGUUUUCCUCGAUCAAGAGCGAAAGUCGGAGGUUCGAAGACGAUCAGAUACCGUCGUAGUUCCGACCGUAAACGAUGCCGACCGGCGAUCCGCCGGCGUUCGCUUCCAUGACCCGGCGGGUAGCCUGCGGGAAACCAGAGUUCGGUUCCGGGGGGAGUAUGGUUGCAAAGCUGAAACUUAAAGGAAUGAAACGGAAGGAA